AAAGUCGUAACAAGGUUUCCGUAGGUGAACCUGCGGAAGGAUCAUUACUGAGAGAGGGACCUCGCGUCCCCCGGAGGGCUCCGGCCCUCCACCUCUUCAACCGUGUUAAAUCUACCUUUGUUGCUUUGGCGAGCGUCGGGGUGCAUCGCGCCUCGGCCCCGGCUUCGGUCGGUGCGUUCUCGUCGAAGCCCCAUCAUCAUUCUAUUGUUCAGUAGCGUCCGAGUGUACCGAUAAUCAAUUAAAACUUUCAACAACGGAUCUCUUGGUUCUG
rnacentral:misc_RNA from 1 species